GGGGUUUCGGGUGGCGGAGAAGUGGGUAAUUUGGAGACGGGGUUGGGGAGGUAGUUGAGGAUUGUUAGGCCUGGAGGGGUUUUGGGAUCACGGCCGCGGAUACCGAGGGAAACCCAGUAGUUCUCCGAUGGUUUUUGGUCGGUGUUGAUGAGGACGGAGUAAGAUUCGCCGGAAUAAAUGUCGAUGUCGGAAGUUAGAAAUGGUUGAACGUAGUUGCCGUCGGCUUCUACCACUAAUAGUUUGUGCUUCUGAAGAAGAAAAAAGAAAUUACUAUACAAUUUUAAAAAUAAAUAAAUUCUGAAUAAUUAGCAAGUUGAAUUUGACGUUUUAGUUUUAAUACACAUAGUAAAAAGAGAGAGAUAGUUACGUACCCCGAUGGCAAAGUUGAGGGCAGAGAGUGAAGUGGUACUUGUAAUUCUAAUCCUAUAAAUCUUAUUGGGUUUGACUUCGAGGAUAAAAGGUGCACAUUGUUCACUUCCACUCAACUUACAUUGCUCCAUUUUCUUCAUGUUCAUGUAUUUAGCUGCAAUUGAACAAUUGCUUUGCCCUCUCCCAUUUAUGAGUAUGGACUUUGAACAAGAAGAAGGGGACAUAAAAAUACAUUUAAUUAAACCUCUCAAAUAGCAUUAAUAGAAUCAACAAGAGAAAGUACAAUAAUUAUAUCCCUAACAAAAUAAUUUACCUAAAUCCAAUUAACCAAAUCAAAACCCUUACGACACUUUAUCUUCUAUUUAGGUUGGUUUAAUUUCCAAUUCUUUUUACUUUUUUUAACUUCAUUACAUGGUGAGAUUUCAUCUAAGGAUAUUAUGGUAACUUUUGAAAAUAAUAUAAAAUGUUUUUUUUUAGAAAAAAUAAUUCAACAAUGAUAAUUGGAAGUUUGCAAAAAAGUUUAAGAAACAAUGUCUAAUAUAAAAAGUAAUUGUUAUGUGUAUAACAAAAACCAUGUUUCAAGCAAGUAAGGUAUUUAUAAGAGGGACAAUAUUACUUUCCUCAAUAUGUUUUAUUUUGGUAGAAAUUAUACCUUAUGUUAUUUAUGUGUCUCAAAAAGAGACAUAUAUGUUUGAUUUGUUGUUUCUUUUAACGGAAAAAAAAAAAAAAAAACUAAACGUGUUCGAACUCUUAUAGUUUGAGCUAUCUUGUGUUUUUAGUGUAGAGUAAGAGAUUUAAAUCAAUUUCAAUUUUUAGAGAUAAAAGUAAUGUGAAUGUCAAUGAAUCAAACUCACUCCGUUAUGUAAUUUUGACGUUGAAUUUUAUUGGAAAAUUGUUUUAAAUGGUAAAACGGUUGAAAAUACUUAUAAAUACAAUAAAAUUUCAUGGGCUUUCAGUCAUAGACAACUAUCCAUGAUAUUUUGCUAUAUUUAUAAAUAUUUUUGUUUAUUUUGUUAUAUUUGAAAACAAUCUAAUUUUAUAAAAUGUUUUAGUUAUUUUUUUGUCUAAGGAAGUUUUGUUUUUAAAAUGCCAUUGAGAGAAUAUUUUGUGGACAUUUUUGUUUGUUUGUAGUUAAAGCAGCAAACAUUUUGAAUAUUAAGAAAUAAUUAUUAAAAGUAUAAUUAUACCAUUUCGACAAAAAAAUCUAACAUUAGUUUAGUUAGAUAAUUAUUAAUAAUAAAGUAUAAUUAUACCAAAUUGCUACCUAACAAUACUUUUAUUUUUUGCUUUAAAAAAAAUAUAAGCUUAUAAUAUUAUUUUCACAAAUAAUUAUCUUCAUUAAUUUUAUUAAUCUACCAUUUAGAUAUACAAAAUCAAAGUUUUGAUAAAUAAAUUUGUAAAAGUAGAUUUUGUUGUAAAAAUUUAACAAAAGAAUCCUACACAAAUGUUUCAAUUAUCUCUCUUUUCAUUUGAGAUAUGCUUUAUUUUUAUACAUAAAAUUUUAAUUUAAACACUGUCCUUCAAAAAAUAUCCUAAAAUAUAAUAUUGAAACAAACUCCAUAAUUCUUUCUUUCUUUAAUUUCUUCUUCUUCUUCCUUUUUUUUUUUUUUUUUUUUUUGGUUAAAGUAGGACUUAAUUUUUAAACCUUGACCAUGAUGCCAAUAUUCAUAUUUUUGAACUUGUAGAAAUAAAAACACUCUCAAAGGUGUAUAUAUAUAAUAAUAAUAAUUUUCAAAAUAAAUAGAGGGAAUAUAAAUGAAAGUUUUGUUAGAGAAGAGUAUAGAAAACCUACCUCACAUCUCAUGAAUAUUCAGUAUAAUUUAAGAAAAUAUCAUAUUUGAUGGUUAGUCCAAACAUAAUUAGGAGAUAAAGAUAUAACUUAAACUACCUGUGGUUCACCAAUCCAACGCAUUGGGCUAGAGCUAAGGCCAAUUUCUUGCUUUAGAAUGCUUUCGUGCCACCAAUCACUAAGCAACAAGUUGAUUUCUUCGUCGUAAUGGAACGGCUCUUUCUCUCCUUCUUCUGGAUCCACUAUCAAGGAUCCAUAUAACCCAGCCGCUCUCUGCAUACCCAAAUGACCAUGAUAGAAAUAUGUCCCAGGCUGCCAAACGCAAGUUCAACAAAACAAAUAAAUUUUGUUAGAGAUUAUAUUUUAUGUCACUUUAUUCAGCAUCGACAUUUCGAAACCUUCUCACCUUAUCUACUACGAACUGGUAAGUGAAGGAUUCGCCUGGGUUAGUCGCACACUGCGAGAUGGAAGCAGUGCCAUCGGCCCAGGGAGUUCCCUUCUGUAGGAUUCCAUGCCAAUGAAUGACAACAUCUUCAGUGGAGAGCUUGUUAAUCAUCUCUACAACCACAGUGUCACCAACAUUGGCUCUAAUAGUUGGCCCGGGAAACUGGCCGUUGAUUCCCAUGACGAGGUUUUCUUUACAGUCCGGGGACCAAAACAUGUAUUCAACUUCCCAUGUGUAGUGUCUAGUUUGGGAAACAGCAUCAGAGAGAGUUAUUCCAAACCCAAAAAUGAUUGACAGAAGAAAGAACAUGGCUGGAAAAGGCAUAGGAAACAAUGGCUGAUUUGCAACUUUUGUUGCCAUCUCUUGGUAAAGAGAUGGAAGGGAAGAAUAAUAAUGCAAUGAGCAAAAAAGAGGAAAUUGGGAGUGGGAAGUUUGUGGAAGAUACCACUGCAAUUUACCAACGGCUCCUCCUUAAUUUAUAAUGAAAUUUUGUGAGGUUUUGAUAAUACAAAUUUAUGUCAACUUAUUUUUUCUUUUGUCUUCAUUUGUUUGAUACUUUUUUUUAUUGGUUUUAUAGUUCUAAAGGUUUUUUCUUCUAUGGAAAACUUGACGUUUAUAUGAUGGAUAUUGAGAACCUAGAGAGAGAUUUAAAUGUAGAAGUUUGUUUGGAUGUUUAAUUUUUUUAAUUAAAAUGUAUGUAUAACAUAAUAUAAUAACUUUUUUUUAAGAAUUUGCAUAGUAGAAAGGUACUGAAAUUAUGUGUUAUGUAAGAUUGUCUUUGCUAAGCUUUAGGUAAUCUAGAUACUAUUAAUUUCAUAUAAUAAAGUUUAUCUAAAUUUUUUUUAAGCUGAAGUAAAUUUAUUUGUUCUAACAUUUUCAUCUUAUAUUUUUAUAUCAAUUAGUUUAUAUUAACUUUAUUUUUUUUGUUUUUUUUAUCAUAAAUAAAUUUAUAUUAUAUAUUUUUUCAUUUAUACAUAUUUUAUAUUUCACAUUUUCAUUUUUUUAUUUAAACAUGAAUUUUUAAUGCAUGCAUGAGAGUCUUUCUAAAUACAAAAGUAUUAUGCCUAAAAGAAUAUACAAACGUAUUAGGUAGUUGUGGGAAAGAUAAAACGAACAUUGUAGUUUAAUAUAUAAUUAAAAAGAAUCCAAAUAUUAUUUGACUUUAUCUAAAGUUAAUUAUUAAUUACAUAUAAUUAAUCACAACCUUGCAUUAAUUUAUAUUUAUAUAAAAACAAGUGAAAUAGAGAAAGUGGAUAAAAAAAAAAAAGAAAAAUCCACCAAACUCAAUCAAAAUAUCAAUUUCUUUUUGCUAUAUUUUUCUAUCUCUAACGAUUUACCUAAAAAAAUGAGAAAAAUGAUGGGAAAAGGGUUAGUAAAAGAUUCUUCAAAACAUGAAAAGUCUUAAGAACCGUGAUUAAAAUAGAUAUUAACAUUAAUAAAAUGUUUGGUUAUAAUUAGAAAUAUUGAGGUUUCAAACCUUACGAAAAUAUCAAUAAAAAAUUUGAAUAAAUUAUGGAAUGAAAUCGUUAUAAUUAAUUAAUAAAAGUACUUUUAUUGUGACUUAAUUAGAAUUAACCAUUUUUAAUAGCAAUGUCUAUAAAGUAAGACAACCAUUUAGGUGCCUAUUGUUAGUGCAUGUGCAAAUGUUAAUAAGAUAACCUAGAUUUAAAAAUAAAUGGAAAAGUAGUUACCCAAGUUUAAGAAUGCUUUCGAGUGAAAUAUUCCACGAGGUUAAAAGUAAGUUGAAUUUUUUGGUUGGAGGAAAAAUACAAAUAUAACAAUUAUAUAAUCAAAAUAAUUAAACAUACAACAACAUUUUAAAAAAAUUAUAAAUAUAUAGCAAAAUCUAUUAAAACCUGUCAAAGAAAGAGUUAUCUCAAUAGAUUUUGCUAUAUUUAUAAAUUUUUAAAAAUGUUUUUAUAUAAUUAAUAAUUAUUUCUAAAACUGCUAUCCAUUAUAAUUAUCCUAAUUAAAAUUUAGAGCUCUUCCUCUAAAAUUUCGAUUUAUAUUGUCCAUGACUUUCCUACGUGUCAUUCAUUAUUGUUAUAUUUAUUUAUAUUAGUAGGUUAAAGAGUUGACCUUUUACUAUAUUUAAUAUUAUUUAUUAAUAUGUCAAUAUGAACUUUUAAUUAAUUUAAGGAAGCCCUAAUAAUUCCAUUAAGAGAUUUUUUUUUUCAUCAAUAUAUAUAUAAUGUAUUUUUAACAAAGCUAUAAUAGAGGUUGAGAUUAGAAGAAAAGUCUUCUAAAGUAAAACAAUGAGAGACAAAACAAAUAUAGACAAAAAAAAAUCAUAAAAUUGCAUCACACACAAGAUCAAACGAACCAAAAAUAUUUUUUAAAAAUUGAAUAUUCAAUCUCACUCUCACAUGUUACUUCAAAUUAAUGUACUCAUUAACUAAUAAAAGUACUUUACCUAUAUAUAUAUAUAGGACAUGAGGUUUUUUAAAAAAAAAAUCAUUAUCGACGCCUUCUCCUCUCAUCGUCUAUUUUAAAAAAAAAGUCUACACAAAUACACGUGUAAGAAUUUAUUAUAUAAUAAUUUUAUUUAUUAAAAAUUUAUAAGAUGUAAAUCGAUCCAUAUCUAAAAGUUUAGAACUAAGGGCUAAAGUUACGUAAUUUUAUAAUUACGUUUGGUGAUAGAAAAUUAAGGUUUUAGGGGCAUAAUUGCAGUUAGAAUUAUAUGAAGGGUGCUUUUUGCAAUUACUUCAUACACUCAACAUCAAAGUGAGUGUUUAGUACACAAGGCAUGUCAUUCAUUGUAUGUCCACUCCACAUAUAUAUACAAUACAUAUAUGCUCAAAGGUGUUAUUAACAAAAAUGAUAAUUUUUUGAAAAAAAUAUCUUAUAUCAAAACAACUAUGUCUUUGUCCUUACUAUCAGUUAAUUUCCAUCUAUAUCUUUAUUCUUUUACAUUUCUACAUUUUCAAUCUUUUUCAAGGGGCAAAUUGACAUUUUAUGCCUUUUUUAUAUUUAUGAUAAUUAAUUGCAACCUUAAUUUUUAUAAAUAUAUAUAACAAAACUCUAAUAUAUUUACAAUCGUGUAACAAAAUCAACAAAAUUCAUGAAGCUAAUAAAAUAUUUUCAUAAAUUCCAUAUUUGUUCCUGAUAUUGCAAAUGAUUCGUCGCUUCUCUUUCCUCUUCUUCUUUACAAUUUUUUUAUCUUCUCUUCCAGAUUUCUUCAACUCCUUUGAUGUUCUUUCUUCUAUUUUUAUUCAUCUUCUUUUUCUUUCUUUCCUUCGACUCCUCUUCUAAAUAUUAAUUUGAUAUGAUCUAAACAAUCGCUUACCUCAACAUGAUCAAAUAGCAUGGUCAACACGAUUGUUUAGAUUUAAAGUCAUUUUCCAUCGAUUAAAAAGAACUACACGAUCGUGUGGAAACGAUUUAAGUGAUCACUUACCUAGUCAACAUGAUAUAUAUAUAUCAUUUAGCAUGGUUAACACGAUCAUUUAGAUUUGAAGCCAUUUUUUCUAUCGUUUCAAAAGAACUACACGAUCGUGCAGAUAUGAUCUAAACGAUCGCGUACCAUAGUCAGCUCGAUCGUUUAGUGUGGUUAACACGAUCUUUUAUAUUUAAAACAUUUUAUUUCAUCGUUAAAAAGAACUACACAAUCGUGUGGAUACUACCUACACGAUCAUGUAUCAUGUUCUAUGUCGAAGUGUCUCAUGAUCGUUAAUUUAGAAAAAGAAUUAUACAUGUCCAUGCGGCCGAUUAAUCGUGUGUUGACUAAGAUAUUUUUUAUAUAUUUUUUUCAUCAUUGGCCCGUAACUUCUUCCAUUUUCAAAAUUGUUCUAUACAACGUAAAUAUUAUGUUAAUUUAUUAUAUUUUUUAAAAACACUAAACAAAACAAUAAUUUGGGUGUGAACUAAUAAUGUUUCAAUAAAAGAAUAUAUACAUUUUUUAAAUUUUAAAAAGGGAAUGAUUAAAGCUCAUAUUUUGUUUUCGUAUAAUUUUUCGAUAAAACUCAUAAUUUAAGGGAAGGGAAGGGAAUGACUAUAAAAACUCAUAUUUUGUUUAUAUUUAUAUAUUUGGUUAAAUUACAUUUUUACCCUUGAAGUUUAAAAUUUGUACGAUUAGUUCUAAUGUUUCAAAUUUGCAACAAAAAAAAAAGUACUCAAAUUUUAGAAAAUGCUCGAUUACGAUCCAAUUGGGAUCGGUUAAAUAGACAACAAAGAUGAGACAAAUUUACAAACUUUAGUAUGAUGUGUGACGAAAAACGAUUCCAUGAAGAUGUGGCUACAUUCAAAUAGUACCAUUAUUUGUAAGGUGAAGUUUUUUUCGUCAAUCUCUUCCCUCUUCUUACAAAAUUUGUUGUUACCAAUUCUUCCCAUCACUUGUCUACUUUUCUUGAUUUUGACAAGAGAGAAAAAAAGUUGGUUGACAACAUCCUCGAGAGGGAAGGGUGGGAAGAGAAAACAUUUUUUAAAAUUUUUAUUUUCUGAAUAAUAGAUUAAAGUUAACAAUAAUAGUUAAUUUAAUGUCUAAAUUGUGAGGAAGUUGAUUGUUUAAUUUUAAAAUGUGGAGACAUACUUUAGGAUCAAAGGUAUAAUUUCUUUAUAUUUUGAAAGCUACCAAAUUUAGUUCACUACCUCUAUUUUAUUUUUUUUCAUUUGUUUUUCACGUGGGAACAAUGAAAAUAUGUAGUUUCCUUUCAAAUUGGAAAGCAAUUCUGUCUGUUGGCUACAAAGACAAAAUACUAUUUGUUUUUCUUUUUAUUGUCUAAAUAAUAAUAAUACACGUUAUUGCUAUGUAGCUUUUAAUGAAGUAUGUUAGAAGUGUUAGGUGUGUCGGAGGAUAGAGGUAAAUUUAAACUUAACUUUUGUGAAAGUUGGGAGGUUGGACAUAGCGUAUUCAUGAAUUAAGCUCGAGUAAGUUGGAGCAUUUGAGAUUAGAAAUAUAAGACUAAUCAAUCUUAUUUAUGUUUUAAGACUUUUAACGAGAUUGACAAGAGUUGGAUGAAAAUUAGGAAUAGGUUUUAAUCGAUUAAGCACAGAGAAGAAAAUUUUCAAUUUUUAGAGGUUGCAAAAUAUCACGACAAUAAUUAUGGACGACUAAGGUGUCCAAGCAAGAGAUGUAUGAAUUCAAAUUGAGACUCAUUAGAGGGUGUGGAGCGACAUCUAUUAACAACUGGAAUAUCCCCCAACUAUACAGACUAGGUAUAUCAUGGAGAGCCUGUGAACUUACACAGAGGUAUGCAAAGAUUUGAUGAAGGAACUAGCAUUAGUAACCCCUUUUGAAAUGUUGGAUAUGAUUCAUGAUUUACAAACUCCAAACGAAUGCGAAGAAGAGACGGAGGAAGAUUUGGAGAAUGAAAUGUCGUGUAACAGUGGGGUAGAUAUAGAAGAAGAGACAACAAACGUCGUAUUUCAUGAGUUAUUAAACCAAGCAAGUUGUGAACUAUACCUCGACUGUUCAGAAUUUUCGUCCUUGAACUUUUUUGUUAUGGUAAUGCAUUUAAAGGUUCUUAAUAGUUGGAGCAACAAGUCGUUCGAUAUGAUGUUAGAGAUAAUAAAAUGUGUGUUUCCAAUGUGUGGCACCAAUAUCUCUAGUUCAUUUUACGAAGCCAAACGAAAAUUGCGUGAGUUGGACUUGGGAUACGAGAAUAUUCAUGAUUGCAAGUACGACUGUGUAUUGCUCUAGAAGUGUUUGGGGAUUUGCAACAGUGUCCAACUUGUGGUGAGUUUCGAUACAUGGUUAGUUCUAAUAGAUCAAGAAAAAAUUCUGCAUAAAGUAAUCCUACUACUUUCUGUUGGUGCCGAGAUUUCAACGCUUGUUUGUAUUGCAAGAAAGCUCGACAGACAUGAGAUGACAUAAGGAUAAAUGAGUGAGAACAAAGGAUUUGUUGAGACGUCCAACUGAUGUAGAGGGAUGGAAGCACUUUAACUCUGAAUUUCCUGAUUUUGCUCUAGAUUUACAGAACGUCUGUUUGGAAUUAGAUGCAAAUGGGUUUAAUCCAUUCGGUUAUAUGAGUGUCUCGUACAAUAUGUGGCAUGUGGUGUUAAUUCCUUACAAUUUGCCACCAUAGAAAUGCAUAAAAGAGUCAAACUUUUUCAUGCCAUUGUUCAUUUUUUGUCCAAGAUCUCCUGGUAGGGAAACGGAUGUGUACCAACAAACCAUUGAUUGAGAAACAGAAAGAGUUGUGGACUUUUGAUGUGCGUACGUAUGACUGUAUUACAUAUCAAUUUUUUCAAUUGCACGCAACCUUGUUGUGGACAAUUCAUGACUUCUCGACAUAUGGUGACCUAUCUAGGUGGAGUAUGAAGGGGUAUCAGACAUGUCUCAUUUCAUGGAAAAUAAAUCGUCGUUGGAUAAGAGAAAAAUAGCUUUCAUGUGGGACAUCGACGCUAUCUUUCAGAUAACUACAUGUUUGCCGUCGAAGUAGGCUACAUGAUGGAAAAGUCUAGCGUAAGCUAAGACUCCUCCAAUAGUAAUAAAUGAGCAUGAAAUCUUCAAACAACUAGAUUCGUUAGAAUUUCCACUUAUGACUAAGUAUCAUUCGUUAAAAGAUAAGAAAAGAAAUAAAGCUUUUGAUUGGUACAAGAAAAGUAUUUUCUUUGAUUUUCUUUACUGGUCGAGACUACUAAUUCGUCAUAAACCUGAACAACUUAAUUAUAUUUUUUUUGUUAAUUAUAUCGAUUUCAUAUUUUGUUUUAUAAUUUGUAAUUUUUUUAAUUUUAAUAAUAUGUUACAAAUUUUGUUUCUUUCAAUUUGAAGCGGAACUGAAAAUAAUAUACCUUACAAUAAAAAAUAAAAUAAAGAAAACAAUAAAAUGAUAAAAUAAUAAAAUAAUAAAAAAGAAAUUUAUCCCAACCUAGAAAACAGGUCGGGAUCCUGUGUUCACCCUGACUUACCCAUACGACAUCGGGGAAACUUUUCUCGAUGCAUGUCGAGAGUACCCUUUUCUUGACGCACAUAGACAACAUCAAGCGUAUUCCACUACCGACGUCUUGCCUGUGUCGGCAUGGACAGUGUUGGGAAUAACCCUAUGUUGACGUCUUCACUUUGAUGCGUCGUAGAAAGCUGCCCCGGCGUUGAAAUCCUGACGUUCUAGUUGACGGAGAAUUAUGCGUCGAUAAUACUUUGACUGACACCUUUACUAUUUUUGCCGACGAUUUGUGGUGUUAGAAGUCCUCCGCUUUCUUGUAGUAGGAGUUGCUCACAAGUCCUGACGUGUUAUGAAGUGCGAUGAGAGAGACUGCACCAAACGCGUAUAUGAAUCGACAUUAGGAGCUUGUCCUUACUUUCGACGUCAAAAUGAAGCGCGUUGGGAAAAGGAAACUCCUGACACCGAUUCAUAUACGUGCUAGGAAAUCGUCUCCCAAUGCAUUAUUUCUUUCAACUCGUCUCCUGACGGUCCUGUAUGCGUCGGGAUCCUUUCUAGACGCAUUUGGAUAUAUAUGUCAAUGCUUUUAUGUGUCGAAAGAGCCACUAUUUCUUGUAAUGAUAUUUGAUUCUUUGGUUCUUUCUCUUGAAAAAAUAAAUUUAACUAUUAAAUUUUCUGAUAUUCUUGGAUAAUCAAAUUUAGGCUUGAUGAACUUCUUCAAUGAUUGACCUUUAUUGGGUUUGUUGAUCUUUUAGAGAAUCGACCUUCGAACUUAUUGGUCUUUUCUUAAAUGAUCGGUAUUUAGGUUAGAUGAUUAAUUUGGAUUGAUCAUUGGUUUGGUGAUAUGCUUAGAUUUGCCUUACAAUUUUAAGAGAGUUAUAUUUUUUUGAUCUUAAGAGUUUUGAUCAUAUAAAUUUUAGAUUUUAAGAUCUUUAAAGCCUCCAUCUCCAAAAUUUGAGAACUUCAAAGUUUCAAUUUUUAGAGAAAUCUGUGUGCUUUAAUUUAGUCUUUUAGAAUAAUUUAAGAACGUCGAAAUCUUCCCAGCUUUCAAUUUUUCAGAAGGUGAUUAGUCUCAAGAUUGAUAAGAACUUUAAUGUCUUGAGAGCUUCAAAUCUUCAGAGCUUCGACUUUUCAUCGUCAAUUCUAUGGCCCAAAUUUUCAUGGGGCUUGAAUUCGGUCAGGUUCAAGAUACUUUAAUUAGAGAUAACUGUGAAACUCGCAAAAUAUUAAAUAACAAACUGAAGAAUAGCAAAUCCCCAAAAUAUUAAGAUUUAUAGCAAAAUUGUCGAUUGCAUAAUUUUUUUGACUUUUUUUGACUUUUUGCAUAGAAUAACAUUUUGAGAAUAUGAUAUAGUAAUUAUAGCACGUUGUUUUAGAAUUUUGCAAAUAUGACAAAAACUCUCCAUCUUAAAUUUGUUAUUAUUCUUAAACUGUCAUUCAAUAACUUAUUUCUCUUUCUUUUUUUAAUGCCUUACUCAUUAUUUAUUUAUUCUCUCACUUUUUCAAGUCCUAAUUAUUUGUUUAUUCUUAUACUAUAAAAAUUAUUUAUUAUUUAUGUCUUAAUCUUAAUUUUAAAAUUAUAGUACAAUAAUUGCAAUAUGAAAGAUAAUAUAAUGAUUGUUGAUCGAAGUAAUUUAACUUCAUUUGUGGUUCUUUUUUUUUUUUUUACUUUCUUCGAUGUGUAUUUUAAGUUGAAUAUGAUUCCAAAUGAUUUUAUUUUAUUUUUUUACAUCAAUUUUUUUAUUUUUCUUUGUCUCAGUUUUGUAUAUCAAUAUUGUGAUAUACUUGUAUUAUAUGUAGUAGUCAGUUAAUAUACUUAUUACGUGAUUUUCGAUUUUUUAAAUUUUAUGCAGUUUAUUAGAGUAUUAUUAAGUAUAUGAAUGAUGUAACUCGGUGUAUCAUUAUCAAGAAUAUCAAUAAUAUAUUGUUAAAGCAUAUCAGUAAAGUGAAUCAUUAUCGAGUAUAUUAAUCAAGUUUACAAGUGUAUAUCAAAUCUAUAAGUAGGACUUCAAGAAUAUCAAGUGCAUUUAAUCAAUCAAUUGUAUAAGUGAAGAAUACUAAAUGUAUCUGCAGUGUAACAAGUGUAUCAAACAUAUAUUAGUAAUGUUUUAGGUGUGUAUCAAAAGAUAUCGAGUGUAUCAAAGUGAGUAUCAGGUAGAUCAAGUGUAUCAAUCAAAUGUAUCGAGUGUAUCAAGAAGUAUCAAGUGUAUUAAGGGGUGUAUUAGGUGUAUCAAACGUAUAAUAGUAACGAGGGUAUUUAUGACAUUUUACCUCUUGAUAUGUGGGUCGGGCUUCAAUUUUGCCAUUUUCGCAAAUAAUAAAUUGUGUGUCCUAUAGACUUAAUUAUUAUAAUUUAUUUUGUCAUUUUUUUCAAGUACCCCUUAUAUAAAACAAUUCAUUUCUUACACAUACAGUGAAUGAGGCAGAAUAUCACAAGUUCAUGAAUAUAGUGUAUUUGCAAACAACAUUAAAUUUUGGAAAAUCUUAACUAAAUAUGAUAUUUUCGAGUUUGAUAAGAUUACACCAACAUCCCUAAAUAUAUGACGGUAAUUUAUAUCAUAUUUUUGGAUUCUUAAAAUUUAAAUCAAUUAAUUAACAAUUUAUUGAUAUAAUUCAUAAUAGAUAUGUUUAACAAUAAUGUGAAUUCAAAUUUUAGAUAAUGUCACUAAAAUAAUAGCAAAGAUCAAUUCAAUAGUUUUUGAUUCUUUAUAUUUCAUACUAUUUAUCAAAUCUUUAUUAAAUAAUACAUAAUACAUAUUUUUAAGGUGAUUUUUAAAAAUAAAAUAAUGGACAAACUAUUUCAUGCCCAUAGCAAAAUUUUAAUCCAAGACCAAAAUGGAUAACUAAAAUUUUAACCGAAGCCAAAGUAUUAAUGUUUUUUUUUGCUAUAGGAUGUAAAUACUUUCCAUUUUCUUCUAUUUAUGUAAAUUUAUUACAUGAACACAUCUUCAUUUUUGUCGACGAAAAUAUAUAUGUGGCCAAAAAAGUUGUGUAUUGCGUGGGCACAUCAUCGUCUUUGCCAACAAAAAUAUACAAAAAUAUAUAAGUGGACAAAAAUGUGUGUGGUGAAAAGGAAAAUUUUUAAGUUGGCUUUCUGCCGACAUUUACUUUUGUUUAUCACCACGUAUCGUGUGUUGGUAGAUAUUUUAAAUAUGUGCCCUCAUAAUUUAUGUGGCGAAAAAUCCUACAUUUUUAUACAUAUUUAUGGCGACGCUAGACCUAUACAUACGACGACGCAAGACUUAUAACGUAGGCAUAAGUGUUUUUUUUUAAAAAAAAAAAACCUAAUUUUUCCAAAUAUUUUCCUCCUUUUCUUUUCUCUCACGCAGUUCCUCCUUUACGUGAAUGGCUUGCUGCACCCCAAACACCAAGAUUUUCUUUGCUCACGUUGAUUGCCCAUCUUCGAUUUCACUCCUUGUCGUCACUGCUCUUCGCUCAACGGCUCGCUGCACCCCUUGCUUAUCGAUUUGUAUUAACUCAAAUAAGGUCUGAAUUGUAUUAUUGCAUUAAAAUUUCAGUACCUCAUCUGAUACACAAAAGCAAUAAUUCUCCACUGAAUUCUUAUGAAUUCUUAGUAAUUCUUUGGAUGUAUCUUCUUUUUCAUUUUCCUUACUGUAUUCUCUAAAUAAGAAAUUUUAACAUCCUCCCGAAGUUGAUCAAGGCUAAAAGGCUAGAUGCACAAUUGAGGUAUGUGAGGUGCUUAAAGUACUUGAACUAAUCUCGAGGUUUAGAAAAAACUUUUGCAUUAAACUGUAUGUUAGGAUGAUCGUAGCUUACUGUUCAUCAUUCUUUUACUUUAAGACUCUAGGAUGUGCAAAUAAGUGGCUCAAUCUUUGCAACCAUCCACCAAAUUUAGUUGAAUGUUCCAAGGCAUGGUGGUUAUUGUGUCAACCUUCUCCAAAUCAUAGCAAACUCAACUACCUAUCAAUGGAACAAAAAACAUCUAUAAGAAACAAAUAAAUUGUAAAACUUUUAUUUUGAAUGAGAAAAAAAAUAUCUAUUGAAUAUGACAUUUUUAAAUAUAUUAGUAAUUUAGAAACGUCACGUUGAUAACUCUAUUGAACAAAACAUUAAUUAAAUAGUGACUUUUUAACUAGAAUAAGAAACUUUUUUGAUAGACAUUAAUAUUACGCAUGAAUAUCCUUCAACUAUGAUAGCAAAUCAUGCAUAUAUUUCAUAUUUAUUGUAUGCUUGAAUUAUAAUAUGUUGUGGCUAUCAUAUCGCUACAGUAGCCAAUCAUGUAUAUAUUUUACACUUAAUAUAUGUUUGAGUUAAACUGCUACUUUGGACACGUUUUUCGAUAUUUUGUGUUUGAUUAUGAGUUUAGAAGGCACAUUUGAGCAUUUUGAAAGGAUUUUUUUGGACUUAAAAGGUGAUUUUUAGUUUGAUAUUUAAGACAGUUAGUAGGUGAGUUUUUGUUGGAUUUUAAUUUGAAAGUUACAAUUGGGUUUUUGGUUGUUUUGACAUAUAAAAGGCUACACAAACCCAUUUUUGAGUUAAAGUACCACUUAAACAUUUUGGAGGUGUUUUGGGGGUAGGGAAAGGAAAUGAUUAGUCAUUUCUAUGUAUGGGGGGCAAGAAUUAAGGUGGGAAAGGAAUAAAUUAAUUUCCCACUUAAUCCUUCUCUUUCUUCCAUAAAUACAAUCACAUCAAACUUUUCUCUUUUUUCAAAAUAUAGAUAUGUUUUUCUUAAUAAUUAUAUUUUAACAACUAUAAGUAUCUUUUCACUUUUCCAUAACAAUUUUAUAUAUAUAUCCACAAAUACACAUAAUUAUGAAAUUUCUAUUAAAUAAACACUCCAAGAUAUUUAAUUAAAUUUAAAUUCAACAAUACUAAAAAUCUAAAUCCAAUGGUUAAUUAAAUAUUCAACCCUCGAGUAUUUAAUUAUGUUCAUCCUCAUUUGUUUAAAUCGAAUAUUAAUGAUAUGCAAUAUCUUAACAUUGCACUUACAAUAUCAAAUUUAAAAAAUGGAUAUAAUUUAUUUCGCACGUAACGCAUCAAUUAAUUUAUUGGCAGGAAAACUUUCGUAUAAAACGUACACAAUUGACAUUGUAUUUACGAAAACUAAUAGAGAGCAUGUUUUCCAAUAAAAAAUCGAUAAAUUAAAAUUAUGAAUAUUUGUGUAUUGGAUUUACUAUACCAUUUUUUUUUAAAAAAAAUACAAGAGUAUGAAUUAAAAAAAUAAAUAAAUAAUAAUAAUAAUAAACUUUUUUUUUGUCAUAAUCCUUCCUCUAUAAUCCUUCUCACUUAUUUCUUCCCCGUAUCUUUGAAAAUGCAACAAAAAAAGAAAAAAAAAAGAGGAGCAUAAUUUUUAAUGUAUUGGAUUUAUAUAUCAAAUUGAAUAACACGUUAAAGACAAAUGAAAAAAAAAAUACAAUUUAUUUGUGAACUAAAUUUACAAUACAAAUUUCAAAAACAUAUUUCACACAAAGAAAUAAUAAUAAUACAAUUUGUUUUGUGUAUUGGAUUUAAUUUUUAAAAAAAUAAGAAAAAAAACUACUGUACAAAUGAAAAAAAAGAAAAAAAAAAACUUCACUUUUGAAAUUGUAAUGAGUGUACGUUAAAGUAAUAAAAUAUUUAUACAAAAUCACCAAAAAUAAAAAUAAUACAAAUUUUUGGUGUAAUUGGAUUAGGGUACAACUUAACUGAAAUAAUGAAUUUAAAUACAAUUUUUUGUUGUAAAUGUUUUAUGAUACAAACAGACAAAAGGUUAUACAAAUGCAAAAAAUAUUAGCACAUUUUCAUUUUGUAUUGGGUUCACGAAAAAAAAAACAAGAAUUUCAUACCCAUGAAAAAAAUUAGUUUUUUUCGUACAAUUUUUUUUACACAAAUGAAAAAAAAUACAAAUUUUUUUAACAUAAUCUUUAUCCAGAGAAAUAUUAUAAAUAAUCUCUCAUAAUCCUUCCAGUUAUUCCUUCUCCCCAAACAACGAUUAGAAAUAAUCAUUUUCUUUUCAUAAUUCCCCUUUCCUUAUUCAUUUCCCCUCAUUUUCCUUUCCUUCCCCCAAACACACCCAAAAAGCUAAUAUGUUAUGGUAAUUAUUGCUAUAGGGUCAACUUUUUGUUCAUACUAUUUGAAGAUGAAUAAGGAUUGGAUUAAACUAAAAAAUAGAUUUUCAAGUGAUUAUGUUGAUGGAGUUUCUUAAUUUAUGGAAGUGGCUAAGUGUCAUGUAAAUGAUGUAGGAAAAACUAGGUGCACAUGUAAGUAUUGUCAAAAUUCAAUGACACAAACAUUGGAUGGAGUAGAGCAUCAUUUAUUUGCGAAUGGAAUAUCUUCUUUAUAUGAUAAAUGUAUUUAUCAUGGAGAAGCAAUGAACUUUGCUAGAUUUGAACAGAGUACUACUUCGUUAGAAAGUGAUAGAUUAAGUAGAGAGUCUGAUGUUGGCAACAAGGACGAUGAUAUUUUAGAUCUUUUAACUGACUUGCAAGGUUCAAUGAUAGCAAGGGAAGAAAAUUUUGAUGACGGAGAUGUAAGUUUUGAUGAUGAAUUUUCAGAAGAUGUUGAUGACAUGGACACUAGUAACAUUUUUAGGAGUUGAUGAAUGAAACACGUAAACCGUUGUAUCCUGGAUGUACCAACUUUUUCUCAUUAAAUUUUUUGGUGAAGUUAAUGCAAAUCAAGAUUCUGAAUAAUUGGAGCAACAAAUCGUUUGAUAUGCUAUUAGAAUUGUUGAAAGAUGCAUUUUCAAUCGGUACAUUUAUAACUAAAUCAUUUUACGAAGCUAAGAGAAAAUUAUGUGACUUAGGGUUAGGAUAUGAUUUCAUCCAUGCUUGCAAAAUAUGACGGUAUAUUAUUUCGAAAAGAAUUUGCUAAUUGUCAAAGUUGUCCACUAUGCAGUAAAUCUCGAUAUAAACAGAGAGUGAAAAAGGAAAGAAGAUUCCAAAUAAGGUUUUGCGUCACUUUCCACUAAUUCCAAGGAUGAAACUAUUGUUUUUUAAUCAAAAUAUAUCGCUUCUAAGAUGAGAUGGCAUAACGAUAAACAGAGGAUGUUUUACGACGAUAUCUAGCUGAUGAUGUAGAAUGGAAGCACUUCGAUAGAGAAUUUUCUCAAUUUUCCUCAAAGCCAAGAAAUGUUCGUUUAGGCUUAGCUUCACACGAUUUUAAUCCAUUUGGGAAUAUAAGUACUGCAUAUAGUAUGUGGCUAGUGGUGCUUAUACCAUACAAUUGUGGCUAGUGGUGCUUAUACCAUACAAUUUGUCCCUUGGAAGUACAUGAAGGAGUCCAAUUUUUUCAUGUCUUUGUUUGUACCUGGACCCAAAUCUCAUGGGAAAGAGAUUGAUGUAUAUUUGCAGCCCAUAAUUGAUGAGUUGAAAGAGUGGUGGAAUAAUGGUGUGCGAGCGUUUGACUGUACAUAUGAAGAGUAUUUUCCAUUAUAUGCAUGUUUGUUGUAGACCAUCAAUGAUUUUCCUGUAUAUGGUGACUUGUCGGGAUGGAGUACGAAAGAAUAUCAAGCAUUUCCUACUUGUAAAUAAGAUACGUCAUCGUUUGGGAUAAAAGGAAAAAUAUCUUUUAUGGGACACCAACGUUAUCUUUCUUCUAAUAAUAGUUGACGUCGAAGUCGACAAUAUGACAAAAAAACCCGAACGCAGGCCUCCACCAAUUGUAAUGAGGGGAGAUGAGACCUUACAACAAAUAAACUCCAUGAAUUUUCCAGUGCUAAGUAAGCAUUCAUCCAAGAUGAAUAAGAAAUGAAAACAUACUAUUAAUUGGAAUAAGAGAAGUAUAUUCUCUACACUUCCGUAUUAGUCUAAACUUCUUUUGAGACAUAAGUUGGAUGUCAUGUAUAUUGAAAGAAAUGUUUGUGACAACUUGCUUGACACUUUAUUAAAUAUUGAUGGUAAAACAAAGGACACAAUCAAUGCUCGUUUAGAUUUAGGAGACUUGAAUAUAUAAAAAGGAAUUACAUUUGCAAAGGCAAGGAACUAAGCUGAUAAAACCACAUGCUACGUCUACAUUAACCGGCACCGAAAGAAUAGACUUUAUAAGUUCUUAAAAUCAAUUAAAUUUCCUAAUGGAUUUGUCUCAAAUAUAUCACGAUGUGUGAGUGUCAAUGAUGGAAAAUUAUAGGGACUAAAGACUCAUGACUCUCACAUUUUACUCUAAUGACUUAUUCUCAUUGUUGCACGAGCAUACUUACAUAAGGGUGUGUGUACAACUAUCGUUGAGUUAUGUAAUUUUUUUCAUGAUUUGUGUGCGAAGACAAUACAUAUCAGUGACCUGAAUCGUCUGAAAGCCAAUAUUGUGAUCAUACUCUACAAAUUUGAAAGAAUUUUUUCACCUGCGUUUUUUGACGUAAUGAUACAUCUUGCAAUUCAUUUACCGGCUAAGACAAAGAUUGUUGGUCCAAUAAUCUAUAGUUAAAUGUAUCCCAUAGAAAGAAGCUUACGAACAUUAAAACAAUAUGUACGAAACAAAGCUUGUCAUGAAGGUUCCAUAGCAGAAGCAUUUCUUAUGAAUGAAUGUUUGACCUUCUACUCGAUGUAUCUAACAGGAAUAGAGACAAGAUUCAGUAGGAAUUCACGAAAUGAUGACUCAAUGAGCAGAAAACUUGGUUGUGGGGACUUUGAUGUAUUUAAAUAAAAUAUGUGACUAAUGGAGGGGUCAAUUGUGAGGACGCUAUCUGAAGAAGAGAGACGAAUGUGUCAUUGGUAUGUUCUGAACAACUGUUCUCAAAUAGAAUCGUAUCUCAGGUACAUUUUAUACAUUCAUUUACUUGUCAGUUCAUAGUGUAUAUAAGUAAGUCGAAAUUCUUUUUAAUAUUUAAUAUGAUUGAUAAGCAGAGAAAAUUUGAGUUUGAUAAAUACCAAAUGAGAGGAUGGACUAGAUUUAUUUAGAAGGCACCAAUUAAAAUUUCCUAAUUGGUUUAAUGUACAUGUAAGUGUUGUUUUUAGCUUCAAAGUAUGAUGUUUUACUAUUGAGGUAUUAGUAGUUAUUCUAACCCACAUAAUAUUAUGUAGAUGUAUUCAUUACGUGAAAAAGGUGAAGCAUCUGAUGAUCUUUACUCCAUAGUGUUGGGCCUAUUAAUCAAGUUCGCACUUACAGUGGUUGCUUUGUAAAUGGAUUACAUUUUGAUUCAAUAAAGCGUGACAAUCGCCAGACUACUCAGAAUAGUGGAAUCAUGGCAUAUGGAGAAACCAAAGCCGACAAAACGGAUUACUAUGGUCUAUUGCAAGAGGUCUUGGACUUAGAAUACCCUAAGUGUAGACGUGUAUGUCUUUUCAAAUGUAAUUGGUUUGGAACCGAUGUUAAGAAGAACAAAUUUUGUUCUAAUUUAGGCUUUAAAAUAAUUAAUACUUCUCGUUUGGGUACACUGAUGACCCAGACAUAUUAGUUACACAAGUCGUGUAGGUUUUCUACACUGACGACCCAAAACUCCGCAAUAAUUGAAAAUUUGUGCAAAAUGUCCAAAAUAAACAAGUAUGGGAUGUCCCAUAAGUUGAAAAAUUAGAAAAAGAGUUGUUAGAAGCAUCUAGUUCAAUUGGGUUUGAUAAAUCCAUACAUGAUAUCCCAUUUUGUAGAGGCGAUGUUAAACCUACUGUUUUUUAUAAUCAAGAGAUAGAUAAUCAAGAUCAAUCCCCAAUCGAUGACGACUUUAUAAAUGACGAACCUGAACAACUAGAAUCUUUGGAUUCAUAUGGUAAUGAAUAAAGGGUAUAUAUUAUAUGUUUAUCAAAUUUAUUUACGACAUGUUAUUUUAAAGUCUAACCACUAAUAAUUAUUUUUGCAGCAUAAUGGUACAUACAGAUCAAGCACAAUUGGCAUUGACUGAAGUUGAACAAACAAACACUACACCAGUUGAUCCUUCCACUCAUCAAGACGGUAUUAAUAUGAUAUGUAAGUUUAUUUCUUAUACAUUACUGAAAUGAUCUAAAAAUAGUUUUACUUUUAGGAUAUCAAUCACAAACUAAAAAGUGAGGAAAUGAUGUGAGAGGAUACGGUCCAAACAUAGAAUUGGACAAAUUUGUAGAAAAACGUGGAAAGAUCAAGAUAGAGAUUAACAAAGAGGAAGAAAAACCAAUGACGGCAUUUGCCCCUAAAAUUGGGUUAGGCAUUGGUACUGUCGUUCGAAACACUAUUCCAUUGAGUUGAGGGAAUUGGGAGGCGGUACCUAUAGGCGUAAGGAAGCUCGUGAUUGAUCGGUUGGAGGUAUGUUUAUGUUUAAUUUAUGCCUUCUUAUAUUGUUUAAAUGUAAAAGUUGUCCAUUUAUACAUAUAUUAUUAAAUAUGUAGACAAAUUUUGAAUUUGACCCAACUGACAUAAUUGUGAGAAAAUACUUAGAAAAAAAGAUGCAUAAUACUUUUAGAGAUCAAUUUAGAGCAGGUUUGAAUUGUAUGUACUUGAGUUGAAAUAUUUUGUGGCUAUCCUGCGGUGGCAACCAAUCAUACAUACAUGACAUUUUCAUAAGAACUGUCCACGUUUCUCUGUAUCGGUAAAGACGAAUAUUCUUGUAGUGUUUGUUGUUGGACAAGAUUGCAACAACCUCCUAUAUGAUAAUGGUAAAUAUAUAUACAAGAUUUUCAGGUUUGUUAUAUUUUAAAAAAUUUAUUAAAUACUACAUAAUAUAUAUUUGAAUAACAAUUUGAAAUUAAAUUUUAGAUACUCCUCAUAGAAUAAUGCCAAAUAAAAAUACAAGAUUUUCAGCUAUUUUAUAUUUUUAAACAAUUUACUAAAUAAUAUAUAAUAUAUUUUUAAUAACAAUUUGAAUUUGAAUUUUAGAAUUGUAAUUAUGUCUCAAUGGGACUUUUGCAAUUAUUUGAAUCUUCUUCUUUUAUGUUUUAUUUGAGAAAAAAAAAAAAAAAAAAAGAAGAUUGAGAGGGGGGCAACCGAUGCAAGAGACAAACACUGUGUGAGAGAGAAAUUUUUUCUUUUAAACAAGAGAGAAGAAAAGUGCGAUCGACAGAGAGAAAGACGUCGGAGUUUCGACGUUAGUGGCUAUGGGCAUCUGACGGCAUCUGACGUUGGUCAUGAGUUUGCGGCAAGUUCUGACGUUCUGGCGUUUGUUGGAGUCAGAUUUAGCCAACUUUCAUGGAUUUAGCUGCAAGCAGGAUGAUAGAAGGCUCGAGCAGUGUUUAUGGUGAGUUUCAUCGUUCAUGUUUUGUUUUUCAGCCUUGGUUCUUCUUAGGGUUUUCAGUAGGUUAUUCGACAUGUGAGUCUCCGGUCGGAGGAGCCGGCAAGAUGAAAAUUUCACAAUCUUACGUCAGAGGAGCCAACAAGAAGAAAAUCCAAGUAUGAAGAGUUUGAAGAGUUUGAAGGGGACGAGCUGGAAACUCCAAUAGUUUCUGCAACUAUGGAAGUUUGAUGUUGAUAUGUGUUAAUUGUGUGUUGGGAGUAAGAUUUUAAUUAUAGGGUAUUUGUGGUUUGUUUAAUAAUUAUAUUUAGGAUUCAAUUUUUUUUAUUUAGGUAUGGGCAUUUAAGACAUUUGUUCGUGCAAUUAUUUUCUUAUACUUUUUUAUUUUUCUAUUUUAUCAAUUUAAAUAAAGAUUUGUUGUUAGAGAAAUGUGUGAGAAUGGCAAAAUAACAUUGUGGUGUUUGGAAAAUAGCAAACAUAAAAAGUAAUUUGAUUUUUAGCAAAAUUGCAAAAGAUAUAAUUUUUUUUUGAGAAUUUUUCAACCGAUUUUAUCUCUUGAUAGGAUGACUAUCAUUUUGUUAAUUACAAUGUAUUUGUGAACCGUAAAAUAAUAAAACAUAACACAUAAUUACGAUUACGAUGCAUUUGGAUAUCAUUCAAUUUUGUAAUAAUAUUAAAUAAAUAUUUAUUUUAUCUAUUAAUCUCAUUUAACUAAAUUAUAGAUUCAUGUCUUAAAUUUAUAACAGAUUAUCCUAUUACUUAAUUGUAGGUUUUGUUGGAAGAUUAAAAUUUUAAAAUUUAAAAUAAUAUCUUUGGUUUAAAAUUAUGCAUUUUAUAUAAUAACAACUUCAUAUAAAUGGUGUAUUUUUCCUAUAAUUAUGCAUAUAGCAAUUAUACCAUAUUCGACCAUAUUAAUAAUAAUAAAUUGUUAAGCAUUAUUUUAGAGAAUAAAUGGUAACAUAACGAUAAUGCAAUCUUAUUAUAUAAUUAUCAUUAAAUUAGGAACAUUUUCUAUAGAUAUUAUUUACUACCAUUUAAAAAUUGAGUUUAAAUUCUUGCAAAUUCUCCUAAAAUCGUAUUAUUACAUUGAUCUCCCUAAAAUAAUGACAAACAUAGAUUUAACAUUUUUGGAUUAUUUAUAUUCCAAAAUAUUUAUAAAAUUACCCUAUUUAAAUUUUGUAUUUAAAUACCUCCAAAAUACAUAUUGCUCGUAACAAAUUGAAUUUAAAAUUUUAUCUUCCUCAAAAAUUGUGCUAAUUGGUUGAUUUUUAUUUUUAAAAAAUUGUUUUAUUGUGCCAAUGGUAGAAAUAAUUAUUUUCAGACGUGUUUUUAAAUUACGUUAAUAUCUAUGUUUAUUUUCAUCUAGUAAGAGUCUCAAACACACCAUAAUUGUGAUUCACAAUCUUAUAAUUUUAUAGUCAUCUAUUAUACAAACAUAUUUCAAUCAGCAGAUUUGGAAUACACAAAAAAAGAUAAAAAAAUUUGGUCAUCAAGAUGUAGUAUCAUUACCUAUACAAUUUAUUUCAAUAGGUCAAAAAAACGAGAUAUGAUAUUGAAAAUAACAUAAAUUUACUUUAUUUUGUAAAUAACAUUCAAAUUUGAUAAAUCUUAAUUAAACAUGUUAUUUUGUACAAUUUAUUAAAUAAUACAUGAUAUAGUUUUAAUAACAAUUUGAAUUUAAAUUUUAGAUCAUUCCCUAAAAUUAUAUAUAAAUCCAAUAAUUUCACUUUUUUAUAUUUUUAGCCAAUUUUACUUGUAUAGAGGAAAAUUCUUAUCUUAUUGGUAUAGUGUACUUGUGUAGGUUAAAAUGAUGAAAUAUAACUCAGAAUCACGAAUAUAUUGUAUUUGCAAAUCAUUAAGUUGUGUAAAAAUAUUAAAUAAAUAUUUAUUUUCGAAAUGAAUUUGAUUGAAUCAACAUCCCCUAGAUUUAAAGGCUGCAAUUUAUUCUAGAUUUUCUUGUUUGUUGGUUUCAAAUCAAGUAAUUAACAAUUUAUUUAGUUGUGGUUGUUCAAAUUAAAAUUGUAUCUUACCCCUAUAAUUAUGAUGCAUUUAAUGUAUAUAUGAUUAUUCUAAUAAAGUUUUGAUAUUCCUCUAUAAUCAUGAUACUUGAUUGAUUUCCUAAAAUGAUGUCAAACAUAAUUUCAAAAUUUUGGGAUUAUCUUGUUAAUAUUCUUUAUCUAUUCUCCAUAAUUGUUAUUUAAAAAUAGAUUUUAAAUUUUGAUUUGAAACCGUCAAAAUAUUAAAAUUGAUUUAAAAAUUUAUAAAAAUAGUUAUUGUUAACAAUAAUUUGAAUUUAAAAUUUUGUCAUCCCUAAAAUCAUGCUAAGAUAUCUUUAUAUCUCCAAAAUAAUAGCCAACAUAAAUUUAACAGUUAUUUAUAUUCUAUUAUAAAAAAUAAAUAUUUUAAUUUUGGAAGGAAUUAAUUGAGAAGAAAAGAUUUGUUUUAUUUAAAUUGUAAAAGAAAAAAAAAAGAAAGUGAAGAUAUUUAAGGGAAAAUAAUAAUAUAAUAAUAUUACUAUUACUAUUCAUCAUCUUCGUCACUCUCACCAAACCCUGACUGCCGCUGACACCUCCAUCUUCGUUCGCCAUCCCAUCCAUUCUGUUGAUCGAGAACUAAACCGCAAGGAAACAUCUCCUCUGUUGCACGCCACUAGUCGCAUGUUUACUUCAUCCGAAGUCAAGCGUCUUUGUGCCGCUUGUUCAUUCGCAUCGCGCGUCGCACGCUCAGCCGCGUCGAUCUCCUUUGUCUGCAUUCGUUCACUGGUUAUACCAAAACUUCCAGCCACAAAACUUCCAGUCACCGUCAAUCCCCGAAUUUUAGUGACUCUGUUGUUGUGGGGGUUUUGUGACAUACAAUGUAUCUUUUCUAAAAUUCAAGUUGAUAUAUUGUUGCUAUAAUUUAACAAACGAAGAAGAAAAUCCAUUGAAGAAGCUCACUUUUGCGCGAAACGAAAAAGAAUCUAUAAUCGGUUUGAUGAAGAAGAUGGUUGGCAAGAAGAAAUUUUUUUAAUUUGCAGUAAAUGUAUAAAGACUUUGAAGGUUUUGAAGAGGACGAAGCUUAAAGCUCUAAUAUUUUCUGCAAAUGAUCAAAGACUUUGAAGAUUUGGUAGAAUCUACGAAAGUAGAAGGUAAUGAAGUUGGAUUCUUUUCGGCUUUGAAUACCUAAACAUACACAAUUUCAACAAGGAUGUGUUAUUUAAUUACAAGGUAUUUAGGUUUUAGGUAAACAAUUCCACAAUGGACUUAGCGUUUUUGUGAUGUCAGGACGAAUCUUAAAUUAAUGGCCAAAAGUUCUUAUUCAAUCCGAACUACAAGCGAGUAUUAAAGAAAAGAAAUGAAAGCAAGGGCGAGAGAAGAAACGGAGGUGAUGGAGCAUAAAUUAAAACGAUUUUGGUCCAUACACUAAUCACAAAUUACAUUUUAAAUAUUUUUUGUUUUCUUGUUAGGUUUAUCUCUUGCUUUUCUUUUUCUCUUUUCCUUCCUUCAAUUCAAAGGAUUUUUUUCAAAAUAUUUAUAAAUAUAAAAAAAUAGUACUUUUAAUUAGCCAUCGAUGGUGAUAGGCUUAUCUAUGUGACGAUGGACCUAGAUUGCAGUCUAUCUUGAUUUAUUAUUAAUAUAAUUGUGAUAUUUUGAUAUAUUUAGAAAUUUUUUCAUUUAAAAUAUUUUUCUUGUUAUAUUUUGAGUGUGUAUAAAUAGAUUAAAAUUAAAGGGUAAAAAAGGGACAAAAGGACAAAAAGAAGGGUAAAAAAUAAAAAGAAACGUUAGGAAAAAGGGGAAAAGAAAACAUGACUAAAUAAUAAUGAGAAAAAAGAAUGGAAAGAAAAUAAUGCAUUAAAUUAUAAAUUUGGUCGAUGAGCUUUAACAUCCGUGUUUAUCUUGUCCUUAAACUACCAAACUUACAAACUUUAGUUCUCGAUCUUUUAAGUUUUAUCAAAAUUUUCAUAAUCUAUUAAAUAAAAUAAAUUAAGAAUUAAAGUUGGGAUGAAACACAAAAUCAAAAUUCAAAGACCAAAAAUUAAACACAAACCAGCUACGAGUUUAACAACUAGAUUUAUAGGAGAACCAAAACACAUAAAUUAAAAAAUAUGAAUAAUAGAUUCAUAAACUUUCAUCAUAUCCAAAACCCUAAACCUAAAAUGAGGGAACACAAACUAGACAUGACCAAAACUAUUUUUUCAGAAGUACCAAUAAUAGAUUUGAUCACAUGACCAAACUUAGAGCACAUGUUCUUUCUAAAAUAUAUCCAAAGGGUAGCCCUACCUGCGUGAUUUGUUGAAGUAUACUCUCUUGGGGACCUCAAAUAAUUAAAUUACUUUUUCCAUUGUUUUAUCUUUUGUGUGGAUUUUUUUCUAAAAAAAUUUCACGUGAAGAAAGAAGGCCUUAGCUAAGCUCCAAUAAUUCAACUUGACAUUGUACCCUAUGUAGUAAUCCAAGAUUUCAAAUAAAAUGGCACGUGAAAAGUUAGUUUUUUUUUCUUUCCCAACUUGUGAUUAUAUCAUUUUGGAACCUAUCGUUCUUAGCAUUUAGUGCUAGAUGAAGACUCAUUUGCCGUAUAUUUGAAAGGAGAGGUACGUUGACGCUCCUUGUUUCUCUCAUGUUACAAUCCUCUUUUGUUUGAAACCUAUUUUAAUUCAAUCCACAAACACAAUAAUAGAGGAUUGAUAUCAACCUUUCAUUAUGGAAGAUAGAAAUUUUGAAAUGAAUCUAGCAAAAAAACAUAGAAGUCAAGCACGAUGUUGUGGUAGAUAAUGAUAAGCCAAUGAGAGCAUAGAUGGAAAUACACCUAGGAUGGUAACCCAAUUAGUGAGUGUAGUCACCUAUUUCGAAGAUUAGUGUAUUAGAUAAAGAGUCGAGAGAUUAUCAUUUCAAUGGUAAACUCUCUCUUUAAAAACUAUUGUCACACACAAUAUUUUUUUGGUAGCCUUAAAUGAAAUCUCAUCAAUACAUCAACUACUCAUCUUGAGUUUUCACUUUCACCUUUAACUAAUUCGACAGUACAUGAAGCCAAGUAAUAAUACUUGGUCAGAACAAAAACUCAUAAAUUAUAGACGAAAGCAGGCAGGGAAGCAAUUCAAACUUGACUUUAAAGCACAUGUAACCUGUUAUAUGUAAAGUAGUAAUAGCGGCAAAAUUUUAGGGUUUUAGUGUUUUACACAAUAUAGGUUACUCUAAUACCAUGUCAAACAAUGUAAAUUUUCUAUCUUAUUUCACUUAGAAAGAGGGGAUUUCUUAAAUAUGUUUGGAGAAUAUAAUAAAAUAAAUACAAAAAAAUAUUAAAGAAAAAGGAAACAAUCAAUUAAUUCAUGAUUCAUGGUUGUUUCAAGCAUUACACAAUAAACACUUCAAAACACUAAAAUUAUUAGUAAAUACAAAGAGGUUUAUUCGAAACACGUUAAUUAAUUAAUUAACUUGAGAUUAAAAACUAAAUAGUCGACCCACACCUUUCAUGCAAUUGACAAAAAAGAAUAUUCAUCUAAUUUUUUAGUGUCUGAAUUGAUAACUUUUCUUAAAUUGAAGUUUCAUUAACAGAGAGUUCAUUCUUUAUAUAUAAAAACAUACUUAAAAUUGGUUAUAUAAAAUUUUUAUUCAACAUAUAAUAUGUAAGUGAGGAGAUGGAUUGUUUGAAUUCUCUUAUCUAAUUUUAUACUAUUUACUAACAACUAUUAGAAAGUAAAGGAAAUUUAUUUUCAAACCCCACCAUUACCUUUUAUUACCUUAAGAAAGGACAUAAACAUAUAACCCUCAAAAUUAAACCUUUCACAAAUCUUUUCAUCCUGCACACUUCACCAUGGCAAAAAAAAAGAGAAAGAUAUAAGGAAAAACAUAACAAUGAUAAGUUCACACUAACAAAUUAACUCUAAACAACAUUAAUUUUACUUCCCUACACCCUCAACUCUAAACCCUCCAAAACUAUAAUAUUCCCCAAAACACAAUAUGAAUAUAUACCACUUGGCCCAAAACCACCUCCUAGGGUUUUUUAGUGGCUUCUCAUUCUAUGGUGUUUUAGGGGUUACGUACCUUACCUUCCUGAAAUAUUCACGAGGGUUUUUUUUAUUAGGGGUUUCUCUUUCUAGGGUUUUUAGGGUAAUCGGGGAUAGUUCUUAACCAGCGCGGUACUGCCACAAGCCAAAGCCUUCGGCGGAAUCAUUCCCACCAUAUGAACUCCUUCGGCAAACACAACUCCCAUUCCCAUAUGCAAAUGAGGUUCAAUAUGGCAAUGGAACGCCCAAACACCUGGGUUAUCCGCCACAAAUCGAAUCGCCGUCCACCCAUAUGGGAAAAUCACCACUGUGUUCCUCAACGGUGGAUUUUUCAAAUUCAGUUUCUUCUCAUCCUCGGGGGCGUAAAAUUUCCCCUCUCCAUACCCCAAAACCCAAAAAUCAUGGCCAUGCAAAUGCCAAGGGUGAAUCUCACUCAUAUUGGGGUUUAACAUAUUAGCGUUUUGUAGAAUCACAUCUACCGUUUCCCCCAUAUUGAACUUGUAAACGCCGUUGCCCGUUGUCGUUUCAGGGUUCGGCGGUGGGUUGUUGAUGUCGUAGUUCAAUGGGAAUGUUUCUGGUGGUGGAUUUUGGUUGAAGGCAGUGUUUAGCCUCAUUUUCAUGGCGGCGAGGUACGGCGUUGGAGGGAGAGCUAAAGAGACAUUGUUGAUGGCCCAUUUCAUGAACCCGUUUAUUCGAUUUUGGGUGUUGAGGAGGAAGAGUCGGCGGUUGUAUCUCACCGGUGGCUUUGGACUGCCCAUGGCAGCGAAGAUUCUGAAUGUGAAGUUUUUGCUCCGAUCAAAAUCCUCCCAGUGGGGGGUUUCCGGAGGUGGAGAAAUGGGUAAUUUGGAGGCGGAGUUGGGGAGGUAAUUGAGGAGGGUUAGUCCUGGAGGGGUUUUGGGUAGCCGUGCGCGGACGCCGAUGGAUACCCAGUAAUUUUCCAAUGGGUUUUGGUCGGUGGUAAUGAGGACGGAGUAUGACUCGCCGGAAUAAAUGUCGAUGUCGGAAGUGACAAAUGGUUGAACGUAGUUGCCGUCGGCUUCUACCACUAACAGUUCGUGAUUCUGCAGAAGAAGAGGAGAAAAUAAUUAUUAAAAUUAGUUUUAAAUUCAUGGAUAAACAUUAAUGUUGAAAGUUGAAGAUAUUAUUUAGUGAAAAAUUAAAGUUUAAAAAUCUAAAAUUAAAUGGAAAUGAACAAUUUGAAACUUAUAAACUAAAAAGGAGAUUAGAAUUUUUUGUUCAUAAUUAUUCAAGUUUACUUUUGAUUAUUUUUAUUUUGAUUUUCAAUUACUAGUUUGAAGCAUGAAUAUGAAUUAUUAACAUUCUAACAUGCAAUUAUUCUAAAAAGGACAAAACAAAAAUGAAAUUUUGAUCCAUUUCUUUCACCACUGAAAAAGGCUAAGAUUUUGUUUUGUGUAAUUAUUAUGUGCAUAAUUAGAGAGAGAUGGACCUCAUUUUGUUAUACCUUUGACAAGGAAUUAAAUAAAUCUUCAUACUUAACAUACUAUAGAUUUCAUUUAAGUGUAGAAAGAUUUGUAUUUAGUACUCUACUUUUUUAUUAUUUUUCUCCCUUUCCUUUUUUGUUUAUUAUUAUUAUUAUUAUUACUUUCUUUAUAAUUUUCUUUUAAAAAACUAUUCUAUAUCACCCAACUUUUAUAAAUAUUUACUAAUAUAACAAAUUGAUAUCGAUCUAUCAUCUAACUUAGUCUAUCAUAGUCCAUUUUCCAUAAUAGAUAAAAUAUGAAUUUUGCUAUAUUUUGUAAAUAUUUUGAUUUAUUUUAUUAUCAUCUAAAUUGAAUUUUAAAAUAAUAUUUUAUUAUUUUUUUAAUAGUUUUUGUACCCUAAAUUUAAUAAUAUAUUAUAAAAUCUUGUUUAGAAUUUUGUUUCCUAAAGUAUAAAUGUAGAUCCCCACCACAGUACAUCUAGAUCUCAAACAUUUAUGUGGUAACCUUCAACUUUAACAAUUAUUCCAUAAAACAUCUUCCCCAUUAUUAAAAUAAAUGAUAAAAAAAAUGAGGCAAUAGUUUAGAUAUAAAAUCAAAAGAUGGGAUAAGAUCACAUAUUAUUUUAAUCAAAUUAUACAAAUUUAAUCAUAGUAGUUGGGAUAAUUUUAGGAGUUAGUUCCAUAGUUUAUAAAUUACAUAUAUUAUUCACAACUAUUAGCAUUUAUUUCAUCUAGAAAGAAGCAUUAAAACUAUUUAUAAUGUAAAAUCACCUUGGUACCUCAAGGGUCACAUCAAUAAAUAAGAAUAAGAUAUAGUAAAUAAUAUCACUUAUGCUUUACAAUUUCUUACAUAUUUGUUACUUCUCAAGUGGGUUUAUAUAUGUGUGUGUAUAUAUAUAUAUAACUAAAUAAAAGUAUGAUUAAAAUUCUAUAUUAAUAAAAGUACAUAUAUAGAUAUUUUAAGUUUAAGAGUAACAAUCAACUCUCAAGUAAUAUUUUUAAAACAAAGUGAAGCAUUUAAGUGUUAUAUAUAUAAUUGGAUUAGAAAAAGAAAAGAUAAAAAGUAAUAUGAAUAGGACAAGAAAGAUGGGAGCAAAACAUGUGGGAUACCUAAGAGAAGAGUUGGUCAAUGGGAAUCACAUCAUAUUAUCAAUACCAAUAUGUCCAAAAUGUCAGAAAUGUUAGAUUAGGUUAUCUAUUGUUUGUACUCUCCCAAACACUGCUACAUGUGUUUAAAAGUAAAUUUAAAUAUUAUCUCUUAAAUUGCUAUUUUUAAAUACAAUGAAAUAUUAUUAUAUUAUAAAAUUUUGUUAUAUUUAUAAAUAUUUAUGUAAAAAUUUAUAUAUUAAAGGUGGACGUGGAUUAAAAUAGAAGAGAUUUAAUGUAAAGUUUAAAUAUCAAAACGAAUAUUUUAAAGUAUAAUGUGAUAUAUUAUACUCCAGAAUUCAAACCCUAAUAUUCUUAUAGUCAAUUUUGAAAGGAGGGUAAAGUUGAUAAAAUGGCUUUUGAUUGUUUGGUAGCUAUUAUUCUCACUAGUGAAAGAGAAGUUUGUGUGUUUUGGUUAGUUUCCUCUCUCUCUCACACACACACAUAUAAUAUAUAUUUGCUUUCACUAACUACUCCCACUUUUAGGACUUUAUGAGUCAAAACCUUUGAAAUUAUUGGAAGUAAUUUUCAAACAAAAAGCAACUUUCAUACUUCUAACACCUUUUUAACAUAUGGUUUGAUAAAGCUUAAUUAUUUCUUUUGUACAAUUUGUCAUUGGAUGGAGUUACUUUAUCAUGUUUCUUUUAGAUUCAUUCGUCGUGAUUGAAAUUGAACUACUUAUUAAUUUACUCGUUGAGGCUAUUUGAGUGAUUUUUGGAUGUUUAAUUGUUUAAAUUUGAUGAUUUUCGACUGUAAUAUCGAUUUAGAAAGUUUAUUUGGUCAUUACUAAAGGUUAAAUAUCUUUGAAAACUGCUACAAUUAUUUAAAAUUGAAAGAUUAAAUCAUAGAAAAUACCUCAAAAUUGUCAUUUGUUUAAAAAAAAUUAUACCUUCAAAAGUUUAAUACAUACUAAACGUGGAUGGAAUGAAGGUGCAUCGAACUAUACACCAAAACACACAUCCAAUGCCAAAAGUGAAAAUAUUUCAAAAUUACUACGAAAUAUUUACGAAGGGUUAGAGGUAACACUUGAAGGUUUCAAUAUUACUUCUAACUUUCAUAAAUAUUUUAAAAUUUCCUUCGUGACAUGUUAAUGAUGUGACAGUGACCCGUUUUAUUACAUGAUUUCAAGUUUAAUUUUAUGUAUAAGUUAAUACAAUCACAAUAGUUUUGAAAAGACUAGAUACCUAACUUCAAUAUAAGAUAAUUUUGAGACAUUCAUGCUAACAAUUUUGUUACUAAUUUUUUAAUGUAUUUAGUCUUUAUGUUUUAAUCCUUUACCGUUCGAUAAAAAUUUCAUUAAAUAUAUUCAAUCUAAUUUAAAGAUUUUAUCGAAUCAUAAAAACUAAAUUCUACUUUUUUUACGUGAUACGACUAAAUUUGUGACUUAAACCAAAAUGAAAGAUAAAAAGAAGCAAGACUUACUCCAAUGGCAAAGUUGAGGGAAGCCAAGGCAGUGGUACUAGCAAUUCUUAUCCGAUAAGUUUUCUUGGGUUGAACAUGUAGGAUAAAUGGUGCACAUUUUUCUUUUCCACUCAACUCACAUUGCUUCAAACCUUGGUUGUAUUUGGCUGCUAUUGAACAGUCAAAUUGCCCUUUCCC
rnacentral:lncRNA from 1 species